rnacentral:rRNA from 1 species
CAGCCGCCACGGGAAUACGAAGGGUGCAAGCGUUAAUCGGAAUUACUGGGCGUAAAGCGUGCGUAGGCGGUUUGUUAAGUCUGUUGUGAAAUCCCCGGGCUCAACCUGGGAAUGGCAAUGGAUACUGGCAAGCUAGAGUGUGUCAGAGGAUGGUGGAAUUCCCGGUGUAGCGGUGAAAUGCGUAGAGAUCGGGAGGAACAUCAGUGGCGAAGGCGGCCAUCUGGGGCAACACUGACGCUGAGGCACGAAAGCGUGGGGAGCAAACAGGAUUAGAUACCCCCGUAGUCCCUGUCUCUUAUAC